GGUCCCAUGGCCUAGUGGCUAAAGCUCUUGUUUUGAAAUUUUGGGCGCGGGUUCGAUUCCGCCUGGCGCCA